rnacentral:tmRNA from 1 species
GGGGGCGUCACGGCUUCGACGUGUCGUCACGUGUGCUGAGAGCGUGCCGAGGGUGUACGGAACCUCGUAAAAAAGACGUGCAAAUCAAAUAAGUGCAAACGAAGCACAAAUGCCUAGCAAGGGUGUUAUAGCCCAAGCUAUGGGAGCACUAGGCUUCCAAUCUGCAGGGGUUCCCUGUGGCGUGGCAUGCGCAUAACGGAGUAGCGGCUUAGGCCACUAGCGAUAUGCGUCUUGUGGGCAGACCUUUCUUCUGGUUGCGCCUACUCGUAUUACAAAGGAAGAGCGCUCACGUAGAAUUUUUAGUUUUGUAUCGUGAGUGUAUUACUGAACUGACGGGUGUGGAAACGAGCUCCUGGCGAGCCACACACGAUUAACCAGGGGAUACGCACGUAGCGCUUAGACCCCGAGGCGGGGCGGACAUGGGUUCGACUCCCAUCGCCUCCACCA